UUUCUGCACCACAGAGCUUGUCAAACAUGUUGCUGCUGUAAUUUCACAGGAACUUUAAUCCAAAGUCUCAGAUGUGAUCCGACGAGAGUAAAGUGCAGUUUUCCUCCGCUCCUCAAGGCGGCAGAAGCGGGUUCUCCUUCAGUCUGACGCUUCUGCUGCUUGACAACAUGACACUUGAUGACAAUCACAACAACGCGAGCAGAUACUGCAGAUAGGAAGAUGACAGCUCUUAAUGUCACUUUAACAGCACAUAUUACAGCUCAACCGCAAAUAAAACCGACGCAAUCAAACGACACAUAAAUGAGGAACCGAGUACGGCACAAGACUCACCUAAGGAAUGUGUUUGGACCAUUACAUCCAGUCAUCAGAAGCAGAGCUGUGGGACGUGUGGACAGACAUUGACUGUAAUGAUGGACUUCUGCUGAUGGACAGCAUAACCCCUGCUGU